CUCUAUGGCCAUGCCACCCUGAACAAGCCCGGUCCCAUCUGAUCGCAGAAGCUAAGCAGGGUCGGGCCUGGGUAGUACUUGGAUAGGAGACCGCCUAGGAAGACCAGAUGCUAUGGGCA
rnacentral:rRNA from 1 species